rnacentral:rRNA from 1 species
AGAGUUUGAUCAUGGCUCAGGAUGAACGCUGGCGGCGUGCUUAACACAUGCACGUCGAACGGAGUCUUUUUAAGGAAGUUUUCGGAUGGAAUUGAAAAGACUGAGUGGCGGACGGGUGAGUAACGCGUGGGUAACCUGCCUCAUACAGGGGGAUAACAGUUGGAAACGGCUGCUAAUACCGCAUAAGCGCACGGAACCGCAUGAUUCUGUGUGAAAAACUGAGGUGGUAUGAGAUGGACCCGCGUCUGAUUAGCUAGUUGGAGGGGUAACGGCCCACCAAGGCGACGAUCAGUAGCCGG